rnacentral:rRNA from 1 species
AUUGAACGCUGGCGGCAGGCCUAACACAUGCAAGUCGAGCGAGCGGCGGACGGGUGAGUAAUGUAUGGGGACUGCCCGAUAGAGGGGGAUAACUACUGGAAACGGUGGCUAAUACCGCAUACUAUCGGAUAACCCAUAUGGGAUUAGCUAGUCGGUGGGGUAAAGGCCCACCGAGGCGACGAUCUCUAGCUGGUCUGAGAGGAUGAUCAGCCAAACGGGGACGUAGACACGGUCCAGACUCCUACGGAGGCAGCAGUGGGGAAUAUUGCACAAUGGGCGGAAGCCUGAUGCAGCCAUGCCGCGGGUAUGAAGAAGGACUUAGGGUUGUAAAGUACUUUCAGCUGGGAGGCGUGACCCGCAGAAGAAGCACCGGCUAACUCCGUGCCAGCAGCCGCGGUAAUUC